AUUGAACGCUGGCGGCAUGCCUUACACAUGCAAGUCGAACGGUAACAGGUCUUCGGAUGCUGACGAGUGGCGAACGGGUGAGUAAUACAUCGGAACGUGCCCGAUCGUGGGGGAUAACGGAGCGAAAGCUUUGCUAAUACCGCAUACGAUCUACGGAUGAAAGCAGGGGACCGCAAGGCCUUGCGCGGACGGAGCGGCCGAUGGCAGAUUAGGUAGUUGGUGGGAUAAAAGCUUACCAAGCCGACGAUCUGUAGCUGGUCUGAGAGGACGACCAGCCACACUGGGACUGAGACACGGCCCAGACUCCUACGGGAGGCAGCAGUGGGGAAUUUUGGACAAUGGGCGAAAGCCUGAUCCAGCCAUGCCGCGUGCAGGAUGAAGGCCUUCGGGUUGUAAACUGCCUUUGUACGGAACGAAAAGACUCUUUCUAAUAAAGAGGGUCCAUGACGGUACCGUAAGAAUAAGCACCGGCUAACUACGUG
rnacentral:rRNA from 1 species